CAUCAGAAGUGGGAUUCGAACCCACUCUCACAAGAGUGGACUGAGACCUUAACGCAGCGAUUUAGACCGCUCGGCCUUCCUGAC